rnacentral:snRNA from 1 species
AUACUUACAUGGCAGGGGAGAUACAUGAUCAUGAAAGUGGUUUUCCCAGGUUGAGGCUCAUCCAUUGCACUUUGGAUGAGCCUCACCCUGUGAUUUCCCCAAAUGUGGGAAAAUCAACUGCAUAAUUUGUGGUAGUGGAGGACUGCAUUUGUGGUUUCCCCUG